rnacentral:lncRNA from 1 species
GAUUGGGGGUGUGUGAGCAUAAGGAACUGUGGGAAGCUGGAAAUGGGCCGUCUCUGUGCAAAGGUCAAGGCAGGACUCCUGGUAGGUAUAGGGUAUAGUGGGGGAUGACCCUGGGGUUAGAUCCCACAGGAAGGGACAAGAUGCAGACUCAUGAUGGCACCUGGUUGGAAAACUUGGCGUUGAUGGCAAUGGCACCAGUGAGCUACUGGGUCUUCUUGUUGUGGCCUGACUGCCCAAGCUGGCAGUCUGA